UUUCCACCGCGGCCUCCGCCGAGGCUGCUGGGUCCUGCGGAGCUCCGAGCACGUGCGGUGCCCAGCUGCCGAUCUGAGGCGAUGCCUGCCCUGUUUUCACCAGGCUAAAAGAAGUAUUGAUCCACAACAAGGGUGCACGUGUGGUUCUAGGUAAGCGUCUCUGUAGCAUCGACUGCCAGGCCUGUCGACUACUUGGUAUAUCAGGAAACAAAUGGGAAACAAGUUCACUCUUGGCAGUUACUGUAGAAUUUUAGUAUUUUUGUUUGAAAGUAGCAUAAAAUAAUUUUUGUCUGCCAUUCCAACUAAGGAAUGAUUUAUAGGGUUAUUAUGUGUGUUGUUUCUGUUCACUGCUGGGAGUCUAAGCUUAGUCCCUGCCAAAGCAUAGAAAGUGCUUCAGUGUCUGCUCCCUGGGGCGGUCCUAGGAUACAUGAAAUGGGAAAGGGGGAGAUUUUUUUCCCGAACAGUCCAGCAGUUGUCAGCUAUCCAGGCUGUGUGGUGCCCGUGAUUGUGUUACACUGUUGGGAGAGUAAACACUGCCUUCCUAAGGGCUGGCUCCGAGCACUGUUUUGGUGUCCGGUGCUGAGUACUUGAGGCAGUAUUGCAUCCCUGAGAGUGGAAUGACUCCUUGUGGGGUUGGUCCUGGUCUGGGUGCAAACAGUUUU
ensembl:processed_transcript